UAGGGAAUCUUCCACAAUGGACGCAAGUCUGAUGGAGCAACGCCGCGUGAGUGAAGAAGGCUUUCGGGUCGUAAAACUCUGUUAUUGAAGAGAACGUGUGUGACAGUAACUGAUCAUGCAGUGACGGUAUUCAAUCAGAAAGUCACGGCUAACUACGUGCCAGCAGCCGCGGUAAUACGUAGGUGGCAAGCGUUGUCCGGAUUUAUUGGGCGUAAAGCGAGUGCAGGCGGUCUUUUAAGUCUGAUGUGAAAGCCUUCGGCUUAACCGAAGAAGGGCAUCGGAAACUGGGAGACUUGAGUGCAGAAGAGGAGAGUGGAACUCCAUGUGUAGCGGUGAAAUGCGUAGAUAUAUGGAAGAACACCAGUGGCGAAGGCGGCUCUCUGGUCUGUAACUGACGCUGAGGCUCGAAAGCGUGGGUAGCAAACAGGAUUAGAU
rnacentral:rRNA from 1 species